UACGUAGGGUGCGAGCGUUGUCCGGAAUUAUUGGGCGUAAAGAGCUCGUAGGUGGCUUGUUGCGUCGACUGUGAAAACCCGCGGCUUAACUGCGGGCUUGCAGUUGAUACGGGCAGGCUAGAGUUCGGUAGGGGAGACUGGAAUUCCUGGUGUAGCGGUGAAAUGCGCAGAUAUCAGGAGGAACACCGGUGACGAAGGCGGGUCUCUGGGCCGAUACUGACGCUGAGGAGCGAAAGCGUGGGGAGCGAACAGG
rnacentral:rRNA from 1 species